GGAGUUUAGCUCAGUUGGUUAGAGCAUCUGCCUUACAAGCAGAGGGUCAUAGGUUCGAGUCCUUUAACUCCC
rnacentral:tRNA from 2 species